CUAAUAGUAGUCUAGAGAAAAAGUACUUGUUUUGUUACUUGCAGAGAAUUGGUGGUUGGUGCGAGCCAAUAGUUAACAAACGAGGAAUCCACUCUCCAAAUGGCAUAUAGUGAUAAGCUAUAUCGAUUGACCUUCGUUAUCUGGUCUACAAGGGCAGCGUGAAGCUGAACUUGGGUGGUACCGCGAGAUUCUCGACCUUUUCGUCCCAAGA
rnacentral:ncRNA from 1 species